UACGUAGGGGGCUAGCGUUGUCCGGAAUCAUUGGGCGUAAAGCGCGUGUAGGCGGCCCGGUAAGUCCGCUGUGAAAGUCGGGGGCUCAACCCUCGGAAGCCGGUGGAUACUGUCGGGCUCGAGUACGGAAGAGGCGAGUGGAAUUCCUGGUGUAGCGGUGAAAUGCGCAGAUAUCAGGAGGAACACCAAUUGCGAAGGCAGCUCGCUGGGACGUAACUGACGCUGAGGCGCGAAAGCUAGGGGAGCAAACGGG
rnacentral:rRNA from 1 species